rnacentral:rRNA from 1 species
UACGUAGGGUGCGAGCGUUGCCCGGAUUUAUUGGGCGUAAAGGGCGCGUAGGCGGCCACGCACGUCCGUUGUGAAAUCGCCCCGGCUCAACUGGGCGGGGUCAGCGGAUACGGUGUGGCUCGAGCAAGCUAGGGGGCAAUGGAAUUCCCGGUGUAGUGGUGGAAUGCGUAGAUAUCGGGAGGAACACCAGUGGCGAAGGCGGUUGCCUGGAGCUUUGCUGACGCUGAGGCGCGAAAGCGUGGGGAGCGAGUCGG